rnacentral:pre_miRNA from 1 species
UGGACAGAUUAUUGUAUUGACUGUAUUCACGACGUGAAAUAGGGGAUUAAACUGUUUUUAAAACGGAAAGUGAAUCAAUUAACAUAAUAGACUCCU